UAUGGACUAACACAGAGGACAUCAUGUUUAAUACGGUUCCGGAAAAAUCCAGUCAGAAGCUGUUCACGGAGUUUUCACAAUAACUGCUUCUCAUGAACCAAAGCUGCGCGACGUCUCCUCCUGAAAGUUGGAUUACCGUGCACUUCUGGAUCACAGGCUAUUCGCAGCUGGACACAUCCUUCUACACUGUAUGCAAACAUGCAACAUCAUUACACACAGUACAAGGCAUAUGAGGAGCAAAGGAACCCAGGCAGUAGCAUCGUUUCACAAUGUUUCAAUCACCAUCAUCAGUGGAUGCCUUUGCCGUCCGUAGCCUGAGAUUUCAGAUUUGCAGCAAAAAAUGUGACUUUCCCAUUUAUUGGAAUGCUGUGCAGGUUGUACCUUGCAGCCAUCCAUUACAAUGUCACCAAGCCAUAACAAAAGCAGGAGAGGGAAAGUACAAGGCUAUGUUCCCAAAACACACAAGUGACAUACUGUAAGCAGUAAUGUUUUAUUUCAAAUACAUUCAUAAUUAAAAACUUAAUGUAUGAAGCAGGGAAAUAAAUUAUCAAAACAAAAGAUUUAUUGACUGCAAUAUUUGUACAGUUAUGUGGAUGAUGUGAUCAGGCUUGUGUUUGAUGAGGUAUUUGAAGAUAAGCUGAAGGAAACCCCGAUUCCAAUGGACCUGGCAUCACAGUUUGAGAGACCUUCAAAGGAGGACGUGAUUGCAUGCCAUCUUCAGUGCAGGGGUCGUCGGAAGCCAACAUUCCGAUCAGGAAGCUCCAAGCAUAUCUGGAGAACAACACACGACAGGAUGAUAACCCUAAAGUGUCGUCUUAGAUAGCACCAGCUGACAAAGCUUUGAUAUGCCAUUUAUCUGAAUAGAUAGCUGUAAGAAGUGAAUUGAACAAUUUUUUGAAAGAAGAGCACAAUAUGGUUACUAAAGUAUGUUUAUUUGUAUAUUGUUUAACAGUUAAAUAUAUAUUUGUAAUAAAUAAACUUUUGACUGACUACUA